GGUGGCUCAGUGGUAGAGUGCUUGCCUUGCAUGCAUGAGGCCCUGGGUCCGAGUCCUCAGCACCA
rnacentral:tRNA from 1 species